UGUGAUUCCUCGGUGAUCAUCUCGGCUACUAAAAUCUUAUCUUUUUGGGUCUGUCGAAGAGAGAGUGAGGAUGAGGAUAGUAGACUUUGUCAUAUUUACCUUUAGUUUAGUAUGUUAUGCCUUUCUUUUGGUCUCAAAACCCGAAAUUAUAUUUCCACUCUUCCUUUAGGAUCAUCUUCAAUAUGAAAACACAUUAGAAGGAUAAAUAUAGU
rnacentral:lncRNA from 1 species